rnacentral:tmRNA from 1 species
GGGGAUGCUUUGGUUUCGACAGAAAUGUAGAAUCUUUAGUAAGCACGUCUAGGGACGGUUGGCCUAGUAAAAAGCCGUAAAAAAUUAAAUGCAAACAAAAAAGAUUUCGCUCCUAGAGCACUUGCUGCUUAAUGUGAGCUAACUUUUUUACUUUAGCCUUACUGAAUUUUCACUAGGGCGGCUAAUAUGAAGCUCCACCUUUGGUUUUGUAUUUAGCUUAUCAUUUAGAAGGUUAGUUUAUAGGAUUUAUUUAGCGUCUUAUAAGUGAAAAUUUAGCUAAAUUAGUCUUUUUAUAUUUUGCUUUUGGAAGAUAAAGAGGCGAAUUUAAAACAAGAGCUAAACGUGUAGAAAGCUAUUUUGUGAAGCUUUUCUGGACGGGGGUUCGAGUCCCCUCAUCUCCACCA